UUCUGUGUCAGUCUGAGAUGAGUUUGGUUUCACGUGCCACCUGUUGGAGAACACACUCUUUAGGUGAAGGCCCGUCACACGGAGCGGCCGGUUUGUCUGGAGAGCGCGUGCAAACCUUGUGGGGGAGCGUCUGCUUCAACGCUCACCCAGCCUGAACUUGGUGGAUGACUCCAACAAACUGCUUUCAUUCCUGCGGAGGCUGUGAAUGCAGUGAGCCUCAAACCUACGUGACCUUGGAUGCAUCUGCUGCCUCAUCUCUGCUGGGACUAAACGCCUGGAGCUGAAUCAAGUGCUGGAAAUAAAGAUUUCCCACCCAUCAGAACUGGUAGAAUGCUCAUUUAAAAGAGUCUCUGCAGACACAAAGAUGAAGUUGUGGGUGAAAUGAAGGGUGAGUUUGUGUUUAACCCCAUGGUUUGUGCUCUUCGUGCCGCACACACAAGCUUUUCUCACAACAUUUAAAUACUCCUGACUGUAAACUUUCAGACAGGGUUCUGAACUGAAUGUGCUCUGCUGAAAUGUGGCAGCUUGGCCCAUUUCUCUAAAUGGUACUUUCCCUUUGCCAAUCAUUCUUUCUCAUUUCCACUCUUCGUCUCGGUGCUGAGUUGGAGGAGGCACUUCUUUCAAAUGUCUGUCUGGAGGCAGAGACAAAGAGUGAGGCGAUAGAGAAAGGAGUCAGUGACAGUGAGCACUUCCAACUGCCAUCAAAGGCUAUUUUUUCUUAGAAAUGGAUGAGUCUGAGGAGCGGGUGUGCAGCCACUACAGGUCUGAGGAAGCCUGAGGUGAAGGGGAACAGACUCCAGCACUGAGGUGUGUCAUUAUGCAUCACCUUGUCUGUCCAUCUGCUUCCUUCUGUCUCUUUCCCUUUAGGUGCUAUCUGCACUGACGGUGACCUGUUUACAGCAAAUUGUUCAAACGCAUCACUUAAUGAAACAAAACAAUUAAAUAUCCUAGAUUUCAAUCCAUUAAAAUAAAUGCGUGGUCAACGUUACAGACCUCUGGACAGCCGUCAUCUCCUAGAGUAGGUUUUCUUUUGGUUAUAGUCAAGUCUCAUGGAUAUGUUGUGAUUUAUGCCUGAAAAACAGAUUCAGUCUGCAGAUCUGCAUCUCGCUUCCUGCUCAGUUUGUGCACACUCAAAUGUCAACCGCAGCAUUAAUGGAUGGAGUGUAAAAAGCUCAGAGAAGAGCGGGCCUCAGUUUGUGGAGUCAACACUUAGACACGGGAAAGUUAAAUAAGUGACACAUUCUGACCAUUAAAUUAUUAUAUAUUAUUUAUAUUAUAUCCUUCCAUCCACAUGGAUUAAACAUGGGCAUAUAGUUUGUACCAAACGGUGCAGUGUUGCAUUCAAAGGCCUCACAGUCACUUUGGUCUCUGUCGAUCAGUGGAAGCUUCACCCAGCGUCAGACCUUCAGACGCAGCUCAGGAGACGCCUGCUUUGUCAGAAGCAGUAUGUACCAGUGUAAACUGGAACUGUAGCGUGUCAAACUUGUCAGCAUUCAAAUUACAAGCGGAGCCCAUUCAUCCAUUCACACAAGUCAUGGCGGCAUGACUGAUUCCUAAGUGCAUUGGUGCUGCCGGCCUGGGCCACGUCUUUCCUGCCACUAUGAAAUCAGAGGCAACUGCUCGCCCCUGGCGAAGCUGUGUGUGUGUGUGUGUGUGUGUGUGUGUGUGUGUGUGUGUGUGUGUGUGUGCGUGCGUGCGUGCGUGUGUGUGUGUGUGUGUGUGUGUGUGUGU